AGUGUAUAUCUAUGUUGCUGCGGUUAAAAAGCUCGUAGUUGGAUCUGCGUGUUUAGCGUCCGGUUCAACUUUUGGUUGUUACUGGAACGCGACACAGAUGUGCUGGUUUGUUGUUGAUGCUCUUAAUCGGGUGUUAGCAGCGGCUAGCGAGUUUACUUUGAAAAAAUUAGAGUGCUCAAAACAGGCGUUUCGCCUGAAUAUUUCUGCAUGGAAUAAUAGAAUAGGACUUCGAUUCUAUUCUGUUGGUUUUCGGAAUGCGAAGUAAUGAUUAAGAGGGACAGACGGGGGCAUUCGUACUGCGACGUUAGAGGUGAAAUUCUUGGAUCGUCGCAAGACGUACUACUG
rnacentral:rRNA from 1 species